rnacentral:ncRNA from 1 species
GAUAUCGCGUUGAUGAGGAGAAGUAAGAAAAGGACGCUUAGAAGAGAGAACCAUCACCGGCUGAAAGUGGUUCAGGCCUCUCCCUUUCUGAAAUGCACCUCAGAGCCCGCUGCUGAAAUAAGUAGGCAGCGGCGGUUUCCUGCCGUUAACAGGUCGAGGUGGAGGAGAUUUAUGCUUCUCAAUCAGAGUGGAACCGCGCUGCCGAUGCGUCUCUGUC